rnacentral:tRNA from 1 species
AUAUUAUAACAAUCAUAGUAUGUAUUACAGGUAUAAUAUUAUGUAAAAUACGGAUAAAGUA